rnacentral:rRNA from 1 species
AGAGUUUGAUCCUGGCUCAGAUUGAACGCUGGCGGCAUGCCUAACACAUGCAAGUCGAACGGAAACGAUGGGAGCUUGCUCCCAGGCGUCGAGUGGCGGACGGGUGAGUAAUGCAUAGGAAUCUACCCAGUAGCGGGGGACAACUUGGGGAAACCCAAGCUAAUACCGCAUACGCCCUACGGGGGAAAGCAGGGGAUCUUCGGACCUUGCACUAUUGGAUGAGCCUAUGUCUGAUUAGCUUGUUGGUGGGGUAAUGGCCUACCAAGGCAACGAUCAGUAGCUGGUUUGAGAGGACGAUCAGCCACACUGGGACUGAGACACGGCCCAGACUCCUACGGGAGGCAGCAGUGGGGAAUCUUGGACAAUGGGGGAAACCCUGAUCCAGCAAUGCCGCGUGUGUGAAUAAGGCCUGCGGGUUGUAAAGCACUUUCAGAAGGGAGGAAAAGCUACGGGUUAAUAACCUGGAGUCUUGACGUUACCUUCAGAAGAAGCACCGCUAACU